GAUGAACGCUGGCGGCGUGCUUAACACAUGCAAGUCGAACGGGAAACCUAUUAUUGAAGCUUCGGCAGGUUUAGCUGGUUUCUAGUGGUGGACGGGUGAGUAACGCGUGGGUAACCUGCCUUAUACAGGGGGAUAACAACCAGAUACGGUUGCUAAUAUUGCAUAAGCGCACAGGACCGCAUGGUCCGGUGUGACAAACUCCGGUGGGAUAAGUGGGACCCUCGUUGGUUAAGCAUGUUGGCAGGGUAACGGCCUACCAAGGCGACGAUCCAUAGCCGGGCAGAGAGGGACGGCGGCGACAUUUGGACUGGGACACGGCCCAGAAUCCUACGGGAUGCAGCAAAGGGUAAUAGUGCACAGUGGGGGGAGCCCUGAUGCAGCGACGCCGCGUGAAGGAAGAAGUAACUCGGGAUGAAAACUGCUAGCAGCAGGGAAGGUAGUGACGGUACCUGACGAAGAAGCCCCGGCUAACUACGUG
rnacentral:rRNA from 1 species